UAGGGGUACAAAAUAUGAAACACACAUAUCACACCGCGUUCCAGUCUAGCUGAAAACCCAAAGGCUCUGCUUCUCAUUCAUUCUUGUUCUUCUCUUUGCUGUAUAUUUUCACUGCUGUCCAUAUCAAGAAAUGCCCUGAACAAUUCAUAAGCAAUAAAUCAGUAUACUAAUAGUCAUUCUGCAUCCCCCUAGUUCCCCCAAAUGGCAUAGUGGAGUUCAUUCCUGGAGAAA
rnacentral:lncRNA from 1 species